rnacentral:rRNA from 1 species
CCUUUCGGGGAACUCGGAGACAGGUGCUGCAUGGCUGUCGUCAGCUCGUGUCGUGAGAUGUUGGGUUAAGUCCCGCAACGAGCGCAACCCUUGUCUUUAAUUGCCAGCAUUCAGUUGGGCACUUUAAAGAGACUGCCGGUGUUAAGCCGGAGGAAGGUGGGGAUGACGUCAAGCCCUCAUGGCCUUUAUGCCCAGGGCUACACACGUGCUACAAUGGGUGGUACAAAGAGAUGCUAACUCGCGAGAGCGCGCCAAUCUCAGAAAGCCAUCCUCAGUUCGGAUUGGAGUCUGCAACUCGACUCCAUGAAGUUGGAAUCGCUAGUAAUCGCGGAUCAGCACGCCGCGGUGAAUACGUUCCCGGGCCUU